GGGGCGAUAGCUCAGCUGGUUAGAGCAGCGGACUCAUAAUCCGUCGGUCGCGGGUUCAAGCCCCGCUCGCCCUAC
rnacentral:tRNA from 1 species